rnacentral:rRNA from 1 species
CCUACGGGAGGCAGCAGUGAGGAAUAUUGGUCAAUGGACGAGAGUCUGAACCAGCCAAGUAGCGUGAAGGAUGACUGCCAUAUGGGUUGUAAACUUCUUUUAUAUGGGAAUAAAAUGUUCCACGUGUGGGAUUUUGUAUGUACCAUAUGAAUAAGGAUCGGCUAACUCCGUGCCAGCAGCCGCGGUAAUACGGAGGAACCGAGCGUUAUCCGGAUUUAUUGGGUUUAAAGGGAGCGUAGGUGGGUUUUUAAGUCAGUUGUGAAAGUUUGCGGCUCAACCGUAGAAUUGCAGUUGAAACUGGCAGUCUUGAGUGCAGUAGAGGUGGGCGGAAUUCGUGGUGUAGCGGUGAAAUGCUUAGAUAUCACGAAGAACUCCGAUUGCGAAGGCAGUUCACUGGACUGCAACUGACGCUGAGGCACGAAAGUGUGGGUAUCGAACAGGAUUAGAUACCCGGGUAGUC